rnacentral:rRNA from 1 species
UACGGAGGGUGCGAGCGUUGUCCGGAAUCACUGGGCGUAAAGGGCGCGUAGGCGGCCUGAUAAGUAGGGGGUGAAAUCCUGCGGCUUAACCGCAGGGCUGCCUUCUAAACUGUCAGGCUAGAGCACAGUAGAGGCAGGUGGAAUUCCCGGUGUAGCGGUGGAAUGCGUAGAGAUCGGGAAGAACACCUAUGGCGAAGGCAGCUCUCUGGGACGGUACUGACGCUGAGACGCGAAAGCGUGGGGAGCGAACAGG